GUAGGUGGCAAGCGUUGUCCGGAAUUAUUGGGCGUAAAGCGCGCGCAGGCGGUUCUUUAAGUCUGAUGUGAAAGCCCACGGCUCAACCGUGGAGGGUCAUUGGAAACUGGAGAACUUGAGUACAGAAGAGGAAAGCGGAAUUCCACGUGUAGCGGUGAAAUGCGUAGAGAUGUGGAGGAACACCAGUGGCGAAGGCGGCUUUCUGGUCUGUGACUGACGCUGAGGCGCGAAAGCGUGGGGAGCAAACAGGAUUAGAUACCCUGGUAGUCCACGCCGUAAACGAUGAGUGCUAAGUGUUAGGGGGUUUUCCGCCCCCCUUAGUGCUGCAGCUAACGCAUUAAGCACUCCGCCUGGGAGUACGGCCGCAAGGCUG
rnacentral:rRNA from 1 species